rnacentral:rRNA from 1 species
UGAAUUGACGGGGGCCCGCACAAGCGGUGAGCAUGUGGUUUAAUUCGAUGAUACGCGAGGAACCUUACCUGGGCUCAAAUGUAUGUUGACGUAUUCUGAAAGGGAUACUUCUUCGGACAAUAUACAAGGUGCUGCAUGGUUGUCGUCAGCUCGUGCCGUGAGGUGUCGGGUUAAGUCCCAUAACGAGCGCAACCCUAUCAUUAGUUGCCAUCAGGUCAAGCUGGGGACUCUAAUGAAACUGCCUACGCAAGUAGUGAGGAAGGUGGGGAUGACGUCAAAUCAGCACGGCCCUUACGUCCAGGGCUACACACGUGCUACAAUGGCCGGUACAAAGGGCAGCUACCUGGUGACAGGAUGCUAAUCUCAAAAGCCGGUCUCAGUUCGGAUCGGAGUCUGCAACCCGACUCCGUGAAGCUGGAAUCGCUAGUAAUCGCGCAUCAGCCAUGGCGCGGUGAAUACGUUCCCGGGCCUU